rnacentral:rRNA from 1 species
UACGUAGGGUCCGAGCGUUGUCCGGAAUUACUGGGCGUAAAGCGCACGUAGGCGGCUUUGUAAGUUAGAGGUGAAAGCCCAGGGCUCAACCCUGGAAUUGCCUUUAAGACUGCAUCGCUUGAACAUCGGAGAGGUAAGUGGAAUUCCGAGUGUAGAGGUGAAAUUCGUAGAUAUCGGGAGGAACACCUGUGGCGAAAGCGGCGCACUGGACCACAACUGACGCUGAGGCGCGAAAGCUAGGGGAGCAAACAGG